GUGCCAGCCGCCGCGGUAACACGUAGGGGGCAAGCGUUGUCCGGAUUUAUUGGGCGUAAAGAGCUCGUAGGCGGUUCGGUAAGUCGGGUGUGAAACCUCCAGGCUCAACCUGGAGAGGCCACCUGAUACUGCUGUGACUCGAGUCCGGUAGGGGAGCGUGGAAUUCCUGGUGUAGCGGUGAAAUGCGCAGAUAUCAGGAGGAACACCAGCGGCGAAGGCGGCGCUCUGGGCCGGAACUGACGCUGAGGAGCGAAAGCGUGGGUAGCAAACAGGAUUAGAUACCCCCGUAGUCC
rnacentral:rRNA from 1 species